AAGCCACUGCUGUUUCCUCCAUCCUGAGCAUGAGGAACCUAUCCAGUUUCUCUCUCAGAUGCCAGGGCCAUGAGGCAAGUCCAGCCUUGGCCUAGAACCAAAGAUGGAAACAAAAAGGGGCCAGACUGUGUUGCCUUCUUGAGCCUGGUCUGACUCCUGAGUGGAAGUCUGAUUCCAGGUACAUGAGAUAAGCACUAAUACCUCCAGUUUGCAGAUUAAGAGACUGAGGUCCUGAAGAGGUUAAAGAACUUGGCUCAAGUCACAUAGCUGGUGAGCAGCAAGAUACAAGAAUCAACCCAAGUCCAGGGGGCUGUGUGCCGUUUACACUUCACAUCUGUGCUGCCAGGUAGUAGGUCAUGAAAACAAUUUAACGUGGGUCACGAUCUACAUUAAAAAAAUGAAUAGAAAAUAUCAUACUGCAUUGUAUGCGGCCAGACUAAGCAUUGUUUUGAGAUGCUGCCCCCUAUUUUAUACACACGCAUUUGUGCACUGGGACAUGAUACAAGGCUUUUUCUUUUUUCUUUUUCUUUUUUUUUUUGCCUAGGGCUGUAGCUAUAAAAGCUUGAAAACCAUUACUCUGAGAAUCUCUCUGUUGGGAAAAUGAGUCCCUUCAACUCUAGUUGUUGCCACUGGGAUGCUAACAGAAAGCAAAGUCUCAGAGGAAAGAUGUGGCAUUCCUGAGUGUCUUCCAUGUACCAGGACUUCUAUUUGCUAGCCACUUUAUGUUCCUCAUCCCAUCCUUCUGUGAGGGACAUACUUUUCAGAUGAGAAACGUAAGCUCCGCGAAGCUAAGGGGCCGGACUGAGGUCCCACAGCGAGAGUGUGGAGGAGCCAGGAUCCGAACCCCAUCGCCAGCCCUUGCCAGUUCCAUGAUUCCGGUGCCAGCGCUCGCCUGACCUCCAGGGCUGUCAUGGUGGGAAGGGACUGGAGGGCAUCUGCUGGGCAAAGGAAAGAGACAAACAUCAUCCCAGAGCCUGUCUUCCCUGGGCAAUACCCGGGCCACUCCAGACAUGGCGUCUUUAGCCCUUCCUUGGUCACUGGCCCCCAGGUGAAGAGAGCAUUUUUCUCUGACUCAAGUUCUUGCCUCUGGAUUUGCCAAGCUCCUAUGACAGUCUUCGCCCUUCUGAAGCUCUCUCAGGCUCCCCUUCCAGAAAUCCCGCAGGUUCCACCGACCUCUCUGAGAGCACAGGCGAGUGGUUGAACGGUGGGCUUUAGAGACGGCGCGGCACCAGAGUCCUGUACUGGCUGUGUGAUCCUGAACCUCCUCACUGAGAUUCUCAUCUGCAAGAUGGAGACAGACCUGCCUCAUAGCGAGGGGGAAUCUGAAAAAGAUGUCUAGAGAGUGCCCGGUGCUCAUUAGAGUGUCCUGCCCUUUUUAUCCACUUCGAUUUGUUGGAGGCACAUUUCCCUGGGGGCGCUUCGAGACCAUCUUUGUACUAGGCCAGCCUGAUGCUGGCCUAUCAGGGUACUUGGUCUCUAAGGCAGGCAACCUCUUCCUUGGAACCUUCCCAGUGCAGGUGACACUCCUUCCUAACGGAGCUGCCCUGUCCGAUGUCAACUAUAAGCACUCCCUGCAGUCUCCAACCGGGGUCCUAGUUCUAGUCUUCCGGACAGCUCUAGGACUCAGUUCAUUUAAAGAUCAUUGGUGUUGGACACAACUCUCACCCAAUAAACAACUCAGCACCAGCUCCUCCUGGCUUAGGGGAGCAGCUCCUCUGCUUCCCCACAUGCUCUCCAGAAGGGUCAAGAGCGCCCCUCCCAGAAGAGUUCUAAAUGUCCCAGCUGAUGGCCUCCCAUAGACAUUCCAUGCUGGCCACAGUUGCAGGCCUCAGAUGGGCAGCCAAGCCCAGUGCUGACCCAUGAGCUUCUCCACCUCUCUGCGUCAGGAGUCAGGUGGGGGUGCUGAACAGACCCUGUAGCAUGGCUCCUCUAGCAGUCUGGGCCCCAGGACAUCCCUUUAGCCCCAGUGGAUCCCUGGGACAGAGGCAAGGGCGGGGGGAAGGGGAGGGAAGACCCAAGAGCAAUACAAGUGAUAGUCUCUCCUGUCCCAUGCCUUCACACAUGCAGGGACCUUGCCACAAGUCCCCUUCCUCACCUGCAUAUCUGGGGAAUUCCUUUCCAUCUCUGAAGUCAUAGUUUAUGCUGCACCCCUAUGUGGUCUUUCCUGACGACCAGGCUCUACCACCAACUCAAAAUAAUCAGUCCCUUGCUCCUUCCUCCACCCUCAAGGAUCCACAUCCACAAAGAAAAUGUGCUACAUAUACACUGAUAUGGUUUGGCUGUGUCCCCACCCAAAUCGCCUCUUGAAUUGUACUCCCAUAAUUCCCGCGUGUUGUGGGAGGGAGAUAAUUUGAAUCAUGGGGGCAGUUUCCCCCAUACUAUUGUUGUGGUAGUGAAUAAGUCUCACAAGAUCUGAUGGUUUUAUCAGGGAUUUCUGCUUUUGCAUCUUCCUCAUUUUCUCUUGCCGCCACCAUGUAAGAAGUGCCUUUCACCUCCUGCCAUGAUUCUGAGGCCUCCCCAGCCAUGUGGAACUAUAAGUCCAAUUAAACCUCUUUUUCUUCCCGGU
rnacentral:lncRNA from 1 species